AGAGUUGAUCAUGGCUCAGGACGAACGCUGGCGGCGUGCCUAACACAUGCAAGUCGAGCGGGGACAUACGACGGAGUCAAAGUUUCGGAUGGAGACGAAGAUGUAUGUUCUAGCGGCGGACGGGUGAGUAACGCGUGAGCAACCUGUCCCUUACAGGGGGAUAACACAGCGAAAGUUGUACUAAUACCGCAUGAGACCACGGGAGGACAUCCUCCAGGGGUCAAAGGAGCAAUCCGGUAAGGGGUGGGCUCGCGUCCGAUUAGAUAGUUGGUGAGGUAACGGCCCACCAAGUCGACGAUCGGUAGCCGACCUGAGAGGGUGAUCGGCCACAUUGGGACUGAGACACGGCCCAAACUCCUACGGGAGGCAGCAGUGGGGAAUAUUGGGCAAUGGGGGGAAACCCUGACCCAGCAACGCCGCGUGAGGGAAGAAGGUUUUCGGAUCGUAAACCUCUGUCCUUGGUGAAGAGGAAGAGGCGGUAGCCAAGGAGGAAGCCCCGGCUAACUACGUGCCAGCCGCGGC
rnacentral:rRNA from 1 species